rnacentral:rRNA from 1 species
UGGGGAAUCUUGGACAAUGGGCGCAAGCCUGAUCCAGCCAUGCCGCGUGGAUGAUGAAGGCCUUAGGGUUGUAAAAUCCUUUCGUGGGGGACGAUAAUGACGGUACCCCAAGAAGAAGCUCCGGCUAACUUCGUGCCAGCAGCCGCGGUAAUACGAAGGGGGCUAGCGUUGUUCGGAUUUACUGGGCGUAAAGCGCGUGUAGGCGGGUCGUUAAGUUGGGGGUGAAAUCCCGAGGCUCAACCUCGGAACUGCCUUCAAAACUGGCGACCUGGACUCAAGCAGAGGCAAGUGGAAUUGCGAGUGUAGAGGUGAAAUUCGUAGAUAUUCGCAGGAACACCAGUGGCGAAGGCGACUUGCUGGGCUUGUAGUGACGCUGAGACGCGAAAGCGUGGGGAGCAAACAGGAUUAGAUACCCGUGUAGUCCCUGAGCGGGCUGGCAAGGCG